CCCAUUUGACAAAUUGCCAAAAAUGAUGCAAUAUCAACGAUAUAAAUAGAAGUUAUGAAAUUUACAAAGUCAAUGCAAAACAUGAAAAUUUCAAAAUGAUUUUUUGGUGUUUUUUUAAAUGGAAUGUUUUUGGUAUUUGGUCAAACAUAUAACUAUGUUAACCUCUUCAAUUUCUUAAACAUUUUAAGUGGUAAGCUGUUGUUGAUUCAGAAAUACAUGCCGCCGCUCGCAAAAUUUCAAACUGCAUUAUCUCUAAAACGACAGUAGAUAUCUCAAAUCUGUUAAAUGGUAAAUGAUCUACAGUUAAAGGACAACAUUAUAAAAAAAGAAUUGGGACAAUUUCAAAGUUCACCAAGGUCACAAUUAAUCAUCAAAUAUAUGAUGCAAUACCAAACUUGAGAACCGGA
rnacentral:lncRNA from 1 species